CCUACGGGAGGCAGCAGUGAGGAAUAUUGGUCAAUGGCCGAGAGGCUGAACCAGCCAAGUCGCGUGAGGGAAGACGGCCCUACGGGUUGUAAACCUCUUUUGUCGGGGAGCAAAGCGAACCACGUGUGGUUCAUUGAGAGUACCCGAAGAAAAAGCAUCGGCUAACUCCGUGCCAGCAGCCGCGGUAAUACGGAGGAUGCGAGCGUUAUCCGGAUUUAUUGGGUUUAAAGGGUGCGCAGGCGGAGGUGCAAGUCAGCGGUCAAAUUGCGGGGCUCAACCCCGUACUGCCGUUGAAACUGCAUCCCUUGAGUGCGCGAGAAGUAUGCGGAAUGCGUGGUGUAGCGGUGAAAUGCAGAGAUAUCACGCAGAACUCCGAUUGCGAAGGCAGCAUACCGGCGCUCAACUGACGCUGAGGCACGAAAGCGUGGGGAUCGAACAGGAUUAGAUACCCUGGUAGUC
rnacentral:rRNA from 1 species